rnacentral:rRNA from 1 species
AUUCCAGCUCCAAUAGCGUAUAUUAAAGUUGUUGCAGUUAAAACGCUCGUAGUCGGAUUUCGGGGCGGGCCGACCGGUCUGCCGAUGGGUAUGCACUGGCCGGCGCGUCCUUCCACCCGGAGACCGCGCCUACUCUUAACUGAGCGGGCGCGGGAGACGGGUCUUUUACUUUGAAAAAAUCAGAGUGUUUCAAGCAGGCAGUCGCUCUUGCAUGGAUUAGCAUGGGAUAAUGAAACAGGACUCUGGUGCUAUUUUGUUGGUUUCGAACACCGGAGUAAUGAUUAACAGGGACAGUUGGGGGUAUUCAUAUUUACAUGUCAGAGGUGAAAUUCUUGGAUUUUGGAAAGAUGAACUACUGCGAAGGCAUUUACCAAGGAUGUUUUCAUCA